rnacentral:rRNA from 1 species
UACAUAGGGUGCGAGCGUUAAUCGGAAUUACUGGGCGUAAAGCGUGCGCAGGCGGUUGUGCAAGACAGAUGUGAAAUCCCCGGGCUCAACCUGGGAAUUGCAUUUGUGACUGCACGGCUAGAGUGUGUCAGAGGGGGGUAGAAUUCCACGUGUAGCAGUGAAAUGCGUAGAGAUGUGGAGGAAUACCGAUGGCGAAGGCAGCCCCCUGGGAUAACACUGACGCUCAUGCACGAAAGCGUGGGGAGCAAACAGG